rnacentral:rRNA from 1 species
AUUGAACGCUGGCGGCAUGCCUUACACAUGCAAGUCGAACGGCAGCACGGGUGCUUGCACCUGGUGGCGAGUGGCGAACGGGUGAGUAAUACAUCGGAACAUGUCCUGUAGUGGGGGAUAGCCCGGCGAAAGCCGGAUUAAUACCGCAUACGAUCUACGGAUGAAAGCGGGGGACCUUCGGGCCUCGCGCUAUAGGGUUGGCCGAUAGCUGAUUAGCUAGUUGGUGGGGUAAAGGCCUACCAAGGCGACGAUCAGUAGCUGGUCUGAGGACGACCAGCCACACUGGGACUGAGACACGGCCCAGACUCCUACGGGAGGCAGCAGUGGGGAAUUUUGGACAAUGGGCGAAAGCCUGAUCCAGCAAUGCCGCGUGUGUGAAGAAGGCCUUCGGGUUGUAAAGCACUUUUGUCCGGAAAGAAAUCCUUGGCUCUAAUACAGUCGGGGGAUGACGGUACCGGAAGAAUAAGCACCGGCUAACUACGUG